UACGAAGGGGGCUAGCGUUGCUCGGAAUUACUGGGCGUAAAGGGCGCGUAGGCGGCCUGCUAAGUCAUACGUGAAAUCCCUCGGCUCAACCGAGGAACUGCGUCUGAUACUGGUUGGCUUGAAUUCGGGAGAGGGAUGCGGAAUUCCAGGUGUAGCGGUGAAAUGCGUAGAUAUCUGGAGGAACACCGGUGGCGAAGGCGGCAUCCUGGACCGAGAUUGACGCUGAUGCGCGAAAGCCAGGGGAGCAAACGGG
rnacentral:rRNA from 1 species